rnacentral:lncRNA from 1 species
GAACACUGGGUCUCAUUAUCAAAUGGGAUUUUAGGAAGCGAGGAAUCAAUAAACUAUUUUGAUAAAGAACCCUGGUGUACUAGGGUCUGUGUUUGUUGUGUUUUUUGUUAGAUGAUUGAGGACAUUCUCCAGAGCAAAGCUGGAGGGGAAAGGAUCAUGAACGAGUAUGCUCAGACAAAAAGCUUGAAUUACCGCACCAGACGUGAUAUGAUCAAGAUUUUGGUUGCAAAUAUGACAGAGGAUCAUGGAACAAGUCCCCCACGACAUGGGAAGGAGGAGGCAUAUUCAACAGGAAUAGUUUCCUUUUUCCCCUAUCUGGCUGACCGCAAAAGCAAGACAGACUGCCCACCAUUAUAAUGCAGAAGACUGGAGUGGCUACUUGGUAUGGCGACUGAAGCACCUGCAAAAGGAGGCUGCAGAGUGAAGAAUACAUUCACUAGCGGGUGGACCAGCUGUAGACAGAGACCCCUUCACGGACGAAGACUGCUGAGUGAAGAAGGGCAGUGCUGAGAGCCAUCGCACUGAUGAAACACACGUCUGAUGAAGCAACCAUAGAGCAAGAUUUUGGAAUGAUGUUUGGUGAUGCAACUUCCACAAAAUUCCUGAAUAAAUGGCCUACUGUCUUCAAACAGAAGGUCAUCCUGCAGAGCCAUGAACUCCCACUAAAAACUGAGGUUCAGGACCUGAUACACAAUGCUGAGUCCGCAGCGGAGGUGGAUAAUGGCAGGGACCAGCAUCCUCUAAUGCCAUCACCGGAAGUCAACAGUCCUAUCUGUUUGCCAUGGGGACCCAGAGAACGAGCAUUCACGCCUACUUCCUUGUGAUUGACAAACAUGCGGUACCUUGUAAGGCAUCUGGCUCACUGGGCUGUUUUAAUGAGCUUUUGAAAGCUUGUGUCUGUCUUUACAGGAAUCUGGAAACAAUAAAUGUUGGGUGUAAAAUAGAUCAGUGUUUUGGGCAAAUUGAAAAUCCUUUCAGUGGACUGAAACCAAAAGGUUGAAAUAUUUCUCAGAGAAGUGGGGAACUGUAGAUCCAGUUGAACAUGUUAUUGGCACAAGAUUUGACAUGUGACACAAUAGAACCACUGAAACAUAUAGUAUGAC